rnacentral:rRNA from 1 species
GUACGGAAGGCAGCAGUAAGGAAUAUUGGUCAAUGGACGAAAGUCUGAACCAGCCAUCCCGCGUGCAGGAUGAAGGUCCUAUGGAUUGUAAACUGCUUUUAGCAGAGAAGAAAAGCAUUCAUUUAUGAGUGUCUGACGGUAUCUGCGGAAUAAGCACCGGCUAACUCCGUGCCAGCAGCCGCGGUAAUACGGAGGGUGCAAGCGUUAUCCGGAAUCACUGGGUUUAAAGGGUGCGUAGGCGGAAUAUUAAGUCAGUGGUGAAAGCCUGUCGCUUAACGAUAGAACUGCCAUUGAUACUGAUAUUCUUGAAUUGGGUUGAGGUUAGCGGAAUGUGACAUGUAGCGGUGAAAUGCAUAGAUAUGUCAUGGAACACCAAUUGCGAAGGCAGCUAGCUGGGCCUUGAUUGACGCUGAGGCACGAAAGCGUGGGUAGCGAACAGGAUUAGAUACCCCGGUA